UAUAUUUUGUAAUUGCCUAUCAGACAAUACGUAUUUAGAAAAAUAAUAAGAAUUAGGAUCGUGUUUUUUUUAAAUCCUGGAUAUUAAUUGGAACCCUUGGUAACAUUACUGCUUUUGAUAUAAAAAGUGCAUUUUGAUUAUUUACUUGGGUUAGGAUAUUAAAAUAUCGGUUGGAUUGUACGACAUAAAUAGAUGUAGUUUUUGAUCAGACAUUUGAUUUUAUUUGUGAAAUGCCCACAAAAAAGCUUCCAAUGAUUCAACAUCAGUGUGUUUGCUGCAUAAUGGAUCAUUCCUGCUGAAUUUUUAGAUCAUUUGAAGACUACAUGGAAA